UUUGGGAAAUGAUGAGAGAUUCAAACAGGUUAGCAUAGGCUUAAUGGUUUUUUUUGUCAUGCUGAAUAUUUUUUGCACGUCAGUCUGAUCCCAAA